UUGCAGGAUUUAGAAUAAAGCAGAAGA
rnacentral:piRNA from 1 species